UACAGAGGUCUCAAGCGUUGUUCGGAUUCAUUGGGCGUAAAGGGUGCGUAGGCGGCGCGGUAAGUCGGGUGUGAAAUCUCGGGGCUUAACUCCGAAACUGCAUUCGAUACUGCCGUGCUUGAGGACUGGAGAGGAGACUGGAAUUUACGGUGUAGCGGUGAAAUGCGUAGAUAUCGUAAGGAACACCUGCGGCGAAGGCGGGUUGCUGGGCUGACACUGACGCUGAUGCGCGAAAGCCAGGGGAGCGAACGGG
rnacentral:rRNA from 1 species